AUUGUUCGCAAUGGGCGCAAGCCUGACGACGCAACGCCGCGUGGAGGAUGAAGAUCUUCGGGUCGUAAACUCCUGUCGACCGGGACGAAAUUCACGGGGGCCAAUACCCCUCGUGAUUGACGGUACCGGUGGAGGAAGCCCCGGCUAACUCCGUGCCAGCAGCCGCGGUAAUACGGGGGGGGCAAGCGUUGUUCGGAAUUACUGGGCGUAAAGGGCUCGUAGGCGGCCGCCUCAGUCCGACGUGAAAUCCCUCGGCUCAACCGAGGAACUGCGUCGGAUACUGGGUGGCUUGAAUCCAAGAGAGGGAUGCGGAAUUCCAGGUGUAGCGGUGAAAUGCGUAGAUAUCUGGAGGAACACCGGUGGCGAAGGCGGCAUCCUGGAUUGGCAUUGACGCUGAGGAGCGAAAGCCAGGGGAGCAAACGGG
rnacentral:rRNA from 1 species